UUUAGAGUUUGAUCCAUGGCUCAGAUUGAACGCUGGCGGCAGGCUUAACACAUGCAAGUCGAGCGGUAACAGGGGGUGCUUGCACCCUGCUGACGAGCGGCGGACGGGUGAGUAAUGCAUAGGAAACUGCCCAGUAGUGGGGGAUAGCCCGGGGAAACCCGGAUUAAUACCGCGUACGCCCUUCGGGGGAAAGCAGGGGAUCUUCGGACCUUGCGCUAUUGGAUGUGCCUAUGUCGGAUUAGCUAGUUGGUGGGGUAAGAGCCUACCAAGGCGACGAUCCGUAGCUGGUCUGAGAGGAUGAUCAGCCACAUCGGGACUGAGACACGGCCCGAACUCCUACGGGAGGCAGCAGUGGGGAAUAUUGGACAAUGGGGGCAACCCUGAUCCAGCCAUGCCGCGUGUGUGAAGAAGGCUUUCGGGUUGUAAAGCACUUUCAGUGAGGAGGAAAAGUCUGCGACUAAUACUCGUAGGGCUUGACAUACUCACAGAAGAAGCACCGGCAA
rnacentral:rRNA from 1 species